rnacentral:rRNA from 1 species
CAGCCGUAAACUAUGCUCGCUAGGUGUCAGGCAUGGCGCGACCGUGUCUGGUGCCGCAGGGAAGCCGUGAAGCGAGCCACCUGGGAAGUACGGCCGCAAGGCUGAAACUUAAAGGAAUUGGCGGGGGAGCACAACAACGGGUGGAGCCUGCGGUUUAAUUGGACUCAACGCCGGACAACUCACCGGGGACGACAGCAAUAUGUAGGCCAGGCUGAAGGCCUUGCCUGAAUCGCUGAGAGGAGGUGCAUGGCGUAGACGUC